rnacentral:rRNA from 1 species
GAAGCUUCGGCAGAAUUCUGUGAUGGAAAGCGGCGGACGGGUGAGUAACGCGUGGGAAACCUGCCCUUGACAGGGGGACAGCCGAGGGAAACUUCGAUUAAUACCCCAUAACGCAGAGAGACCGCAUGGUCAUUCUGCCAAAGAAUUAUCGGUCAGGGAUGGUCCCGCGUCUGAUUAGCUGGUUGGUGAGGCAGCGGCUCACCAAGGCGACGAUCAGUAGCCGGCCUGAGAGGGUGAACGGCCACAUUGGAACUGAGACACGGUCCAGACUCCUACGGGAGGCAGCAGUGGGGAAUAUUGCACAAUGGGCGCAAGCCUGAUGCAGCAACGCCGCGUGAAGGAGGAAGGCCUUCGGGUCGUAAACUUCUGUCCAAAGGGAAGAAGAAUGACGGUACCUUUGGAGGAAGCCCCGGCUAACUACGUGCCAGCAGCCGCGGUAACACGUAGGGGGCGAGCGUUAUCCGGAAUUACUGGGCGUAAAGAGUGCGUAGGUGGCUUUGCAAGCGUAGGGUAUAAGGCGACAGCCCAACUGUCGUUGGCCCCGCGAACUGUAAGGCUUGAGUACAGGAGGGGAAGGCGGAAUUCCUAGUGUAGCGGUGAAAUGCGUAGAUAUUAGGAGGAACACCAGUGGCGAAGGCGGCCUUCUGGACUGUAACUGACACUGAGGCACGAAAGCGUGGGUAGCAAACAGGAUUAGAUACCCUGGUAGUCCACGCCGUAAACGAU